UUUUCAGAAACUUGAAGCUUACGCACAUGCUGCAGAGCUCUUUAGAUUAGUCCUAGAGCUGCAGACUUGGGGGAGACUUUAUGCUCCUUGAACUUUGCUAGUCGAGUCAAGGGAAUCGAAUAUGGUCCAGCUCGCAAGUAGACAGAUUUUUCUGAGCUCCUCAAGUAUAAACAUCUGGCUAAGAAAUCAAAGCAUGAUGAAAAAGAAGCAAAGAAACUGCAGGACAAUGUACAAUCUAUUGGCAAUAUUGUGGGUUGAGACAGCAAUGGGUGGAUCCCUUAUUUAUGAGGAUAGAAAAUUUGCUAAUAUUGGCAAUAUCGCAGUAUGAAGGGUAAGAGAUCAUAAUUUUCCUGUAUUUCAGUUUUAAUGUUUCUUCUUUCACUUGCCUUCUCUGAGCUUACCACAUUGCUUGUUUUAAUGUUUUAAUUUAAUUUCCUACUGAGAAUGGUGCUUUUAUCUUUUGGCUUUCCGAUGAGAUAGUGUAGUUUAGGUUCGACUAAUCUUGCUAAUAGUAGGUUGGGUUAUUUGAGGACAAUAAUUCAUAGGUUGAUAUGAAUGGGUAUUAUACUUGUUAGAGUUGGUACAACUAACUAUUUUGUGGGCCUUAUUUCUUUGAGGAUUUUGCUUAAACCAUGAAAUUCGAGUGUUGAAUAUGUAAAAUUUGAGGGGGGUUUUGCUUCAUUUUUUCGAAUUUUCACCUUUUUACAUCCGAUUUUGCUUGAUUUGAUUAAAAAAAAAGACUAAGAUUAAUAAUGGGGCUUUUUAAUACAAUUUUGAGUGCUUUAAGUUUGUAUUUGGAUCUUGGGUUGUGCUUGUAAUUGGUUACUACUUCAUCUCGUUUCAGCCUAUCUGAUGUAAGGUUUUCCUCUAAAUUUCUCAACUUCUUAAUUUUCCGCCAAUCUUAUUCAACUUUUCGAUGUUUUUCUAAAUAAAAUGCUGGUUUUUUUUUUUAUUUUUUAUUUUUAUAAAUUGUGUUUUUUUUGGGUGGGAAUUUAUUAGUUUAUGCAGAUGGAAGAUCUGUCUUGACAUUCUAUAAAACCAAUGGAGUCCCAUAUAUGAUGUUGCUGCUAUCCUAACGUCAAUUCAGGUCUAUACUCCGAGGACUGCGCCUUAUGCUAGUGAGGAAAUGGAUGUGGUUCGUGAGCAAUGGGCGAAGUUUUUUUACCAGCAAGUAUUUAUUAUUGACCUGAGGAAGCUUGAUCGAGUUGGUUUAGAUGUAUAGAACAAUCUUUUAUGUUAAAAUGCAUGCGUACGUUGAAAUUGGAACGUAUGUAUAUUUAAAUGUA